rnacentral:tRNA from 1 species
UAUGAGGUGGUCGAGUAAGUCGGUAGAUUGUAAAUCUAUGAAUGAGUAUAUUAUACUUUCUCAUAA